rnacentral:rRNA from 1 species
AGUGAACGCUGGCGGUAGGCCUAACACAUGCAAGUCGAACGGCAGCACAGUAAGAGCUUGCUCUUAUGGGUGGCGAGUGGCGGACGGGUGAGGAAUACAUCGUAAUCUACUUUUUCGGGGGGGAUAACGUAGGGAAACUUACGCUAAUACCGCAUACGACCUACGGUUGAAAGCAGGGGAUCUUCGGACCUUGCGCGAUUGAAUGAGCCGAUGUCGGAUUAGCUAGUUGGCGGGGUAAAGGCCCACCAAGGCGACGAUCCGUAGCUGGUCUGAGAGGAUGGUCGGCCACACUGGAACUGAGACACGGUCCAGACUCCUACGGGAGGGAGCAGUGGGGAAUAUUGGACAAUGGGCGCAAGCAUGAUACAGCCAUACCGCGUGGGUGAAGAAGGCCUUCGGGUUGUAAAGCCCUUUUGUUGGGAAAGAAAAGCAGCAGGUUAAUACCCCGCUGUUCUGACGGUACCCAAAGAAUAAGCACCGGCUAACUUCGUG